AGAGUUUGAUCCUGGCUCAGGACGAACGCUGGCGGCGUGCUUAACACAUGCAAGUCGAACGGUGAACCUUCUUCGGGAGGGGAUCAGUGGCGAACGGGUGAGUAACACGUGGGCAACCUGCCCCCGGCUCUGGGAUAACUCCAAGAAAUUGGGGCUAAUACCGGAUGUCCUCUGCUGGCCGCAUGGUCUGGUGGUGGAAAGGGUUUCCGGCUGGGGAUGGGCCCGCGGCCUAUCAGCUUGUUGGUGGGGUAGUGGCCUACCAAGGCGACGACGGGUAGCCGGCCUGAGAGGGUGACCGGCCACACUGGGACUGAGACACGGCCCAGACUCCUACGGGAGGCAGCAGUGGGGAAUAUUGCGCAAUGGGCGGAAGCCUGACGCAGCGACGCCGCGUGGGGGAUGACGGCCUUCGGGUUGUAAACCUCUUUCGGCCCCGACGAAGCGUGAGUGACGGUAGGGGUAGAAGAAGCACCGGCCAACUACGUGCCAGCAGCCGCGGUAAUACGUAGGGUGCGAGCGUUGUCCGGAAUUAUUGGGCGUAAAGAGCUCGUAGGCGGUCUGUCGCGUCGGUCGUGAAAACUUGGGGCUUAACCCUGAGCUUGCGGUCGAUACGGGCAUGACUGGAGUUCGGCAGGGGAGACUGGAAUUCCUGGUGUAGCGGUGAAAUGCGCAGAUAUCAGGAGGAACACCGGUGGCGAAGGCGGGUCUCUGGGCCGAUACUGACGCUGAGGAGCGAAAGCGUGGGGAGCGAACAGGAUUAGAUACCCUAGUAGUCC
rnacentral:rRNA from 1 species